CCUGCUUAUGGAUUUCCUACAGGCCUACUGACCAUUGUGAGGACACUACACUGGGCAAAGACUCUACAGGUCACUAGCUGGUUCUCAUUCCUACAAGACUAACAUUAUUUAGGGAUUUGAUGCACAAUCCGAAGCCUUGCAGUGCCUGGCAAUAAAGCAGAACCAUGCACCCAGCAACACCUUUGAUCUCAACCAUAUGGAGCUGCUCCAUGCUCUUGGAAAAAAAAGUCUCCCUUUCCUCCGAUGCAGGCCGAGAAAUACCAGGGGCCCCCAGAUGGCUGUAUACCACUCAUGACUGCGACUUCAUUGAUUAUUUUCUCUUCUGAUUGGUCCUGAUUGAAAAUAAAUAAAACAUGCACUUGGAACUGGAUGCAAA